rnacentral:rRNA from 1 species
CACUCCUGCGGGAGGCAGCAGUGAGGAAUAUUGGACAAUGGGUGGAAGCCUGAUCCAGCCAUCCCGCGUGCAGGAAGACGGCCCUAUGGGUUGUAAACUGCUUUUAUCUGGGGAUAAACCUACUUACGUGUAAGUAGCUGAAGGUACCAGAAGAAUAAGCACCGGCUAACUCCGUGCCAGCAGCCGCGGUAAUACGGAGGGUGCAAGCGUUAUCCGGAUUUAUUGGGUUUAAAGGGUCCGUAGGCGGACUGAUAAGUCAGUGGUGAAAUCCGACAGCUUAACUGUCGAACUGCCAUUGAUACUGUUAGUCUUGAGUAGGUUGAAGUGGCUGGAAUAAGUAGUGUAGCGGUGAAAUGCAUAGAUAUUACUUAGAACACCAAUUGCGAAGGCAGGUCACUAAGUCUUAACUGACGCUGAUGGACGAAAGCGUGGGGAGCGAACAGGAUUAGAAACCCGUGUAGUCCCA